rnacentral:piRNA from 1 species
UUAAUUUGAUGAAUACUCCCAAUUGUUGUAAA